rnacentral:misc_RNA from 1 species
UCCCCGUUUCCGGGGCAGUCCCACCAGAGUGCGUUAUAAAUAACUAGCAACUGGCGGUAGGGGUUGCGCUCGUUAAAGGACUUAACCCAACAUCUCACGACACGAGCUGACGACAGCCAUGCAGCACCUGUGUAGCCGUUCGUAGUAAACUACGAAACUCAGUAUUUCUACCGAUGGCAACUACAUGUCAAGCCCAGGUAAGGUUCCUCGCGUAGUGUCGAAUUAAACCACAUGUUCCACCGCUUGUGCGGACCCCCGUCAAUUUCUUUGAGUUUUAAUCUUGCGAUCGUACUCCUCAGGCGGAUCACUUAACGCGUUAGCUACAACACCGAUCUCGCCAAGCGAGAUCGACACCUAGUGAUCAUCGUUUACAGCGUGGACUAC